AAGUGUAAUCAGCAAGGAAGACCAGACCACACCCCCAUCUUUCAGUUUCUGUUGAAGAGUAGGAGCCUGACUUCAGUGGGCACUUUUAGAACUUAGAGUUCUAAGUUCUAAGUUAUGUUGUCAUAAAGACACAAGAGGUUUAUUUUUCCUUUGCAUAAAAUCAAUUCGCAAACAAAGAUGACCAACCCAAUUAACAGAUGAAUAACGGAUGAACUAAGUGUGACAAACAGUCCUUUCAAGGCUUCUUACUUGAGAACUGGCUAUUGUUUAUCUUGAGAACAUGAAUCUCAAUGAGUUGUAUCUCCUAACUAUAUAAAAAGGGCUUUGCACAGAUGUCACUUCAUUAGAAAAGACAUUCCAGAAUGCUGCAUACAAAAUUAGACAUGUUUCUUCUGGUGUGUCAUUCCUGGUAGUCCACAUGACUACAGAAAUGAAGUUCCAUCCUUGCAGUGGAAGUUGAUUCCCAUCUCCUGUCUUUCCUUGGCUAUUGCUCUCUGUGGACAAACUACAUCGUACUUCCUGAAAUGCACCUGAAUGAUUCAAGCAGUGUUCAAGCCAUAGGCUCCAAGACACUCCUCAUUUGAGUUCCUGAGGACAAGUAACACCUGAGUGCUGCCUCCUCUCUCAGCUGUGUGGGCCUCUCCUCCAGGCUCCUGGGAAAUUAGUGUUCUCUAGUCUGCAAUCCCUCCUAUGAGGUCUGAAUUCCAACUCUUUAUGGUCUCUUCUAAAAGAGUUAACACUCUAAUAGUUUUCCCUUCUUUCUCCAAGCCCUUGAGGUUAUAGUUAUCUCCUGACAUACUGUCUCUGUAUUAAGUCAGUGUUCCCUUUGCGUUUUUCUAGUUCUCUCCCACCUGUAUAACUAAU